UGGGGAAUUUUGGACAAUGGGGGAAACCCUGAUCCAGCCAUCCCGCGUGUGCGAUGAAGGCCUUCGGGUUGUAAAGCACUUUUGGCAGGAGAGAAACGUCAUGGGUUAAUACCCCGUGAAACUGACGGUACCUGCAGAAUAAGCACCGGCUAACUACGUGCCAGCAGCCGCGGUAAUACGUAGGGUGCAAGCGUUAAUCGGAAUUACUGGGCGUAAAGCGUGCGCAGGCGGUUCGGAAAGAAAGAUGUGAAAUCCCAGAGCUCAACUUUGGAACUGCAUUUUUAACUACCGGGCUAGAGUGUGUCAGAGGGAGGUGGAAUUCCGCGUGUAGCAGUGAAAUGCGUAGAUAUGCGGAGGAACACCGAUGGCGAAGGCAGCCUCCUGGGAUAACACUGACGCUCAUGCACGAAAGCGUGGGGAGCAAACAGG
rnacentral:rRNA from 1 species